rnacentral:rRNA from 1 species
UAAACUUUUAUUUGAGAGUAUGAUCCUGGCACAAGAUGAACGCUGGCGGCGAGCCUAACACAUGCAAGUUAAGCGAUUUGCUUCGAUAAAGAGCGGCGGACGGGUGAGUAACGAGUGGGUAGCCUACCCUGUACACACGGAUAGCAUACCGAAAGGUAUGCUAAUACAGGAUAAUAUAUUUGAGAGGCAU